AAUUUCAUAGUUUAAAUAGAAUAAUAAAUUGCAAAUUUAUAGGCAUAAAAUUUUGAAAUUU
rnacentral:tRNA from 1 species